rfam:Myotis brandtii contig302821, whole genome shotgun sequence.
GGUGGUUCUUGGGUGACGCACCCCGGAAUUCGACUCCCUCCUCUCUGGUUCCCGAUGCAUCACCCAAGAACCGCA